UACAGAGGUGGCAAGCGUUGUUCGGAAUUACUGGGCGUAAAGGGCGCGUAGGCGGUUCGUUAAGUCCUGUGUGAAAUCCCCCGGCUCAACUGGGGAACUGCACAGGAAACUGCCGUACUCGAGGAAGGCAGAGGUACGCGGAACUUAGGGUGGAGCGGUGAAAUGCGUUGAUAUCCUAAGGAACACCGGUGGCGAAAGCGGCGUACUGGGUCUUAUCUGACGCUGAGGCACGAAAGCUAGGGUAGCGAACGGG
rnacentral:rRNA from 1 species